GAUUUUUAUAAACAAAAGUGUAUAAUAUUUGAAAUGGACGAACAGGAGAUUGUUAGCGAAAUUCUCGCGGAAAGUGAAUUCGUCGCAGAAUGUUUUUUUAGUAGCGAUUCAUCUGAUGGUGAUGUAGAAUUACUUAAUAAAUGUUCUUAUAGCGUUGUCAAGCACGUGAGGACAACCAUAAGAAAUUAUUGCACUGAGAUAGUUCCUAGUUACACAGAAGUUGAAUUUUUUUCACAUUUUAGAAUAAGCAAAGCUUUAUGCUAUGCUUUGAUUGAUAAAUUUACUGUUAGUGAAAUUUAUCAAACAAUAUUAAGCGCAGGUCACAGAAACAUUUCGGCGGAAAAGCAUUUUUUAGCUUUUUUAUGGUUUUGUGGCCAUCAAACUGUGUCAUUCCGGGAUGUGGCUGAUAGAUUCGAUCUAUCAAUAAGUAGUUUGCAUGAUAUCAUAACAAGAGUAUCUCUUUGGCUAAGUAAUAUGGCAUGUCAUGUUAUAAAAUGGCCUUCUAAAGAAGAAAAAAAACAUACCAAGGAGUAUUAUAAAAGAAUUUCAGGAUUCCCUAGUGUGAUAGGUGCAAUAGAUGGAACACAUAUUAAAAUUGAUAGGCCAAAAGACCGAUUAUUGCAACAGAAAAGAUUAUUUUUCUAUUAUAUUGCAAGGAACAUGCAAUGAAAAAAAAAAAUGUAUAGACAUAUUUAUUGGAUAUCCAGGAUCUGUUCAUGAUGCACGUGUCUUCCAAAACUCUUCAUUGUAUAAUUUUUUAUAUAGUGAUGAUGAAGGCAAUUAUUUAGAUUAUUUAACAAUAGCUAUAUAUUAGGAGAUAGUGCAUAUCCAUUAUCAGAACGUGUAAUGGUGCCAUAUAAAGAUAAUGGACAUCUAACAUCGGCACAGAAACACUUCAAUAGAAAACACAGCCAAUGCCGUGUAUCUAUUGAACACACGUUCGGAUUGUUGAAACAAAGAUGCCGGCAGUUGUAUCACCUGAAGCUUCGUGGCCCAGAAAGAAUUUGUCAUUUCAUUCGUGCAUGUUGUGUUUUACACAAUUUGGCCGAUGAAGAAAACACAAAUGUUUUACAACAUGAUUCAGUGGAUGAUGUGCAACCAGCAACGCAGGACGAAAAAGAGAACAGAAAUAGAGGAACAGUGUUAAGAAACGAAAUUUGUAAUUAUUUAUUUAUGAAUAGAUAAAAAAUUCAA
rnacentral:misc_RNA from 1 species